UACGUAGGCUGUCUUGUAGGUGAGGUGUGAAAUCCCACGGCUCAACCGUGGAACUGCGCUUCAAACCACAAGACUUGAGGGAGACAGGGGUAAGCGGAACUGAUGGUGGAGCGGUGAAAUGCGUUGAUAUCAUCAGGAACACCGGUGGCGAAGGCGGCUUACUGGGUCUCUUCUGACGCUGAGGUACGAAAGCUAGGGUAGCGAACAGGAUUAGAUACCCUGGUAGUCC
rnacentral:rRNA from 1 species